AGCCUUGUGUGUCCCCAGACCCACUCUGAGUUCCAUACCUAGCCUGGGCUCCAUGGAAGGGUCCAUUUGCCAUGUUAGGAGUCUUGAGUGGCAUAAGCUAAAGAAGCCCUCACCCCUGCUUCUAGUGCCCGAAUCUAAGGCCCAGCACCCACCCUUUCCUCCUAAGACAUACCCCUCCAUGCCAGCUCAGAAGAAGCCAGAAAGGGGCCCUGGCUCCCACAGCUCAUUUGGUAGGGCUAUCAGCCGGGGUCCUCGCAGCCCAAUCUACAUACAUCUACCAAGUCCUUACUCUACAGUGGGGCCCACAGACUCUCAUUCCUACUUGUCUGGUGAAGGACUGUAGAGUCCUGGGUAAGGCGGGACACUGUGAGACCAAAAGUACUGGGUUUCAGAGCCAGUCCACCACUGAACUGUGGGAAUGUACGGCUGGCACUCUUAGGCACUGAGUCUUGUUUUGUUGUUGCUGUUGCUUUUAAAAAAGAUCCCAAUUUAGACUAUCAUGUGAGGUUUCUCAAUUUUUAAAUUUUAGUAACAAUUAACGUAACAGCAAUGGGGAAAAAAAGAGAACACUUUGAAAUGAAGCAUGGGCCAAACAAAACAGGGCUAGACAAGGCCGUGAGGACUCACCAGGCCGGGGCAAUGUUAGAGAGGAGCAGCUCCUGUGUGCAGUGGUCCUGGUGCUGUCUGGGGGCUGUGUUCCCUGCUUCAACAAUUCAGCUUAGCCUUCCAGUCAAGCAUAAACCCUGUAUUCUACACCCUUGGAAAGCUCUACCAUCCAUCCUUGAAAUUCCUGGCAAGGGUGAGAUAGAUCAGCCAUCCCUUCAGGACUGGCUUUUUUUCCCUAUCCCUGCCUUACUGAGCCUCAGCCUCCCCCAGGACUCAGCCAAGAUAGUCCACAUCCCGGGAAGCUUACCCCAUCCCUAGCCUCAUCUCUAUCCUGGAUGCCUCUUGCCCCCACCUCAAACUUCUUCUAGCUCAGUUCUCUCCCCACUGCACAAACCUAUGUAUCUUCCACAAGACAGAGGGCCAAGCUGUGAAUCCAGUAACUAACACACACACUAGGGACGCUGGCUGGCAUGUCCUGAUUGAGAGUGAGGUGGGGAAGUUCCUUCAGUUCCCUUCAUCUAAUGUACUUUCCAUAUAAGUGAACAGGAAGCCACAGGCCUGGUUUGGGUGUGAACCUGGAGAUCACACAACGUUGGGCACACCUGGUAUCACUCCACUUCUCCACUGUGCCUGACUCCCUUGUUGUCAGCCAAAGAGAGAUGAUCCAGGGUACAUAUACAUCUCAAGGCUAACCCCUUUGACAAAUGAGGAGACAGAGGCAGGAAGGUGUGAAGAAACUUGCUUGGAAUGCCCAGUUGUGAGGCAAAGGAUGAGGGUUACAUUAAAUGUUGUCCCACUCUGCCCUUCAUACCAUUCCUUUUCCUUGGUUAGCUCUAGGUGUGGCCUCUUAGGGGCAGACAACUUUUGUCUAUGAUAAAUUACUACCCUUCCUACCACCUGUGAGGUCAACAGUGGCAGACAGAGCAGGAUGAUGUCAACAAAGAAUAGUACCAUCACUCCUGCCAAGCGCACAGCGCACACCAUUCCCAAAAGCCCCUAGUAGACAGUGAGGGUCUUUUUGCUUGCAGUGACCUCCUUUGUCUGCUGACUUUGAAGGCCAUGUGUGGAACAGUCUUAUCCCUGAUGCUGAUGUGGUGGGAGAGACCUGUGGGCUACUGUGGACUGUCUGCGGCAGAUCAAGGAGUAUUUGCCCGGUACAACAGAGAUACAGUGCUCUCAUUGGCUGGGCCUGAUCAUGUGUCCAAUUGGAGGUGGAGUCAACACUCUGAACGAACCCAGCUCGAAGGUGACAACAGAAGUCUCACCAAAUCCAAGGGCCUGAAGCCAGCAGAUCCUCUUAGAGCUAAUCCCAAGGAGCCAGAGGCAAGAGGGCAUCCCAGUUCUGAAACCAUCCACAGCAAAGGAUCCCAGCGACAGACUCGCAAAGAAUACUUUCAAGAUGGAUUCCCCUGCUGUUCUUGAAAAUCCCUACUAGAUGUCAUGGAUGGUGGGAGGCAACGAAGGGGAGAAUAUUGUAAUAAAAUGUGCCAGCCAUAGUUGAGUAUUUCUUAUUUAGGGAAUGAGAAACACUGGGCAAACUCCUGGGUCCUGGUCCUUCCCAGCCUUGCCAGUCUCUUCCUGUCCCACCCCAGGUUUGUUACAUGCAGUAGAAGGCGAGAGUCAUAUAGGCACGGGCGGUACCACCCCCUUCGCAAGCAAGCAAGCAAGCAAGCAAAGAGCAAAGCAUGAAGAAGACAAGGAGAUUCGGAAGGGUCUAAGCAUACGGAAUGCUGAGACCUGUCAAUGCCUCAUCACAGUGGCCUACCCAUGUGGAAACAAAUGACUCAGAGAGAGCUCUCAGCCUCCUCUGAAGAGGCAGAAGAUGGGAACCUCAGCCUCUCAUGAUCUAUCCUCGCCUUUGGGACUCUAACCUCCGAAUCACCUCCGUAGCCCAGAGUGGGUGACAGUGCUGGUCUCCUGGGAGUUCAGUGGAUGGAAAGUGGCUUUGAUGUCCACACAAGCUCUGCUGCCUGCUCUGCUCUUGGGAAGGAAGGAAUAGAGGAGAGUUUCACAUUUAUUUCCCCAGCUCUGCCUCCUGCCUGACUCUGUUCCCACUCCUGACCUGAACUUUCUACACACAGUGAGCAAGUUAAGGCCCUGGGAAAUGAAAAGCAUUUUGACGGCUAACCACAGAGCCCUCCAAUAGAAUCACAAUCAUACGUUUAAGCUUCUACCCAGCAUCAUAACACGCUUAAGGCAUGCUUUGGGAGAUGCCAGUGGUUCCUCAUGCAAGACAUGUCUUCCCAUCUUCCCACAUCGGUUAGCUCAGCCUCACUCUUCUCCCUCCAUCCCCAACCCCCAAGUCUUGUGGAAACUUGUUGAUUAGCUGGAAUCACUUGCCUGCCUCCAGGAUAAUGGGGGUGGGGCAAUUUCUCAGGGAGGUAUUUGCUCGGGGGCCAUGCAGAACAGAGGGAAGACAGUCAGGAGGGCUCAAAAGAACCCAGGAAAGCAAGAGGGAGAUGCUGCUGUCCCUCCUCCACCAGUUCUCAUUUACCCGGAAGUGUGGCUCCUCUGGGCCCUGCCCAAUAUACCUGUCUCAUCCAUGUCCACAGCAAAUAUCCAGCAGUAACGGGAAGCCAUCACUACAGGGAAAGUGAUGGCCACUAGACCCUCAGUUUUCUCUGGUUCAAGGAAGCAGGAGUCCCUGCAGA